rnacentral:rRNA from 1 species
GCUAAGAAUCUUCCGCAAUGGGGGAAACCCUGACGGAGCGACGCCGCGUGGACGAUGGAGGCCGUAAGGUUGUAAAGUCCUUUUGCAGGUGAAGAAUAAGCCGGGGAGUGGAAAGCCCUGGUGAUGACGUUAGCCUGCGAAUAAGCCCCGGCCAAUUACGUGCCAGCAGCCGCGGUAAUACGUAUGGGGCAAGCGUUGUUCGGAGUUAUUGGGCGUAAAGGGCGUGUAGGCGGCUCAUCAAGUCUGGUGUGAAAUCGCGGGGCUCAACCCUGCGUAUGCGCUGGAAACUGGUGGGCUUGAGUUCUUGAGGGGAAGCUGGAAUUCCAGGUGUAGGGGUGAAAUCUGUAGAUAUCUGGAAGAACACCGGUGGCGAAGGCGAGCUUCUAUCAGAGGACUGACGCUGAGGCGCGAAAGCGUGGGGAGCAAACAGGAUUAGAUACCCCGGUAGUCC